rnacentral:rRNA from 1 species
ACAGCAGUAGCCGCGGUAAUACAGAGGGUGCGAGCGUUAAUCGGAUUUACUGGGCGUAAAGCGUGCGUAGGCGGCUUUUUAAGUCGGAUGUGAAAUCCCUGAGCUUAACUUAGGAAUUGCAUUCGAUACUGGGAAGCUAGAGUAUGGGAGAGGAUGGUAGAAUUCCAGGUGUAGCGGUGAAAUGCGUAGAGAUCUGGAGGAAUACCGAUGGCGAAGGCAGCCAUCUGGCCUAAUACUGACGCUGAGGUACGAAAGCAUGGGGAGCAAACAGGAUUAGAGACCCCAGUAGUCCCUGUCUCUUAUAA